rnacentral:rRNA from 1 species
CAGUCGCCGCGGUAAUACGUAGGUGGCAAGCGUUGUCCGGAAUUAUUGGGCGUAAAGGGCUCGCAGGCGGUUUCUUAAGUCUGAUGUGAAAGCCCCGGGCUCAACCGGGGAGGGUCAUUGGAAACUGGGAAACUCGAGUGCAGAAGAGGAGAGUGGAAUUCCACGUGUAGCGGUGAAAUGCGUAGAGAUGUGGAGGAACACCAGUGGCGAAGGCGACUCUCUGGUCUGUAACUGACGCUGAGGAGCGAAAGCGUGGGGAGCGAACAGGAUUAGAUACCCCCGUAGUCCCUGUCUCUUAUAC